GCCUGCAUGGUGUAGUGGUUUGAGUGUUGGCCUAUGACUCUGAAGACCUGAGUUCAAUUCCCUGCUCAAGCA